rnacentral:rRNA from 1 species
GGGGAUUAGUGGCGAACGGGUGAGUAACACGUGGGCAAUCUGCCCUUCACUCUGGGACAAGCCCUGGAAACGGGGUCUAAUACCGGAUACCACUACCGCAGGCAUCUGUGGUGGUUGAAAGCUCCGGCGGUGAAGGAUGAGCCCGCGGCCUAUCAGCUUGUUGGUGAGGUAAUGGCUCACCAAGGCGACGACGGGUAGCCGGCCUGAGAGGGCGACCGGCCACACUGGGACUGAGACACGGCCCAGACUCCUACGGGAGGCAGCAGUGGGGAAUAUUGCACAAUGGGCGAAAGCCUGAUGCAGCGACGCCGCGUGAGGGAUGACGGCCUUCGGGUUGUAAACCUCUUUCAGCAGGGAAGAAGCGAAAGUGACGGUACCUGCAGAAGAAGCGCCGGCUAACUACGUGCCAGCAGCCGCGGUAAUACGUAGGGCGCAAGCGUUGUCCGGAAUUAUUGGGCGUAAAGAGCUCGUAGGCGGCUUGUCACGUCGGGUGUGAAAGCCCGGGGCUUAACCCCGGGUCUGCAUUCGAUACGGGCUAGCUAGAGUGUGGUAGGGGAGAUCGGAAUUCCUGGUGUAGCGGUGAAAUGCGCAGAUAUCAGGAGGAACACCGGUGGCGAAGGCGGAUCUCUGGGCCAUUACUGACGCUGAGGAGCGAAAGCGUGGGGAGCGAACAGGAUUAGAUACCCUGGUAGUCCACGCCGUAAACGGUGGGAACUAGGUGUUGGCGACAUU